CCUGACUCUAGGAGUGUAGCAGCUGUGGCUGAUGUGUCACAUGUAUGUCAGGAGGUAGCAGAAGGGAGAAGGACUAUGUUCUGCCUAUCUGAAUGAUUUUUAGCCUAAUAUU
ensembl:snoRNA LOC120101351 small nucleolar RNA SNORA17